rnacentral:rRNA from 1 species
UACGUAGGGUGCAAGCGUUGUCCGGAAUUAUUGGGCGUAAAGAGCUCGUAGGCGGUUUGUUGCGUCGGCUGUGAAAUCCCGAGGCUCAACCUCGGGUCUGCAGUCGAUACGAGCAAACUAGAGUGUUGCAGGGGAGACUGGAAUUCCUGGUGUAGCGGUGAAAUGCGCAGAUAUCAGGAGGAACACCGGUGGCGAAGGCGGGUCUCUGGGCAAUUCCUGACGCUGAGGCGCGAAAGCGUGGGGAGCAAACGGG